AGGACCACGCCGCCGCCGCCAUCGCGCGUGACUCGGCCGCCGUGUUCGCCUGGAAGGGGGAGACCCUCGAGGAGUACUGGUGGUGCACCGAGCGCUGCCUCGACUGGGGCGAGGGCGGCGGUCCCGACCUCAUCGUCGACGACGGAGGUGACGCAACGCUGCUCAUCCACGAGGGUGUCAAGGCCGAGGAGGAGUACGAGAAGACCGGCAAGAUCCCCGACCCGGAGUCCACAGACAACGCUGAGUUCAAGAUCGUGCUCACCAUCAUCCGCGACGGGCUUAAGGCUGACCCUAAGAAGUACCGCAAGAUGAAGGAGAGGCUUGUCGGCGUCUCUGAGGAGACCACCACCGGAGUCAAGAGGCUCUACCAGAUGCAGGAGACCGGCGCCCUCCUCUUCCCUGCUAUUAACGUCAACGACUCCGUCACCAAGAGCAAGGUGAUUCAAGCGUGCCUUCCUUUGGAUCCAUUUCCUUUCUUUCAGAUCUGACGUUCUUGUUGUGUGGAUCUAGAUUCUGCAUGAUUAACAAUCUGAGAUUUAUUUGUUUGUUGGAGCUGGUGCUGCUUGCUAUGCUUAUAGUCUUGUGGAUGAAUAAUCAAGUCUGCAGAGUAGCGCUCUAUAUUUAACAUGGGUUUAUGUUUCAGAUCUCUGUUGGACAGGAUCUGUUUAUUGGGAUUGAUUGUUCAUGGCGAAGUAUCUCGGGAUACUUUAGGCCUAUUUGUGUUGAUUGGGCUGCUAAUAUAUGUUUGUUUCUAGUUACUUGUUAUGGCUCCUAAAUUGCAGGGAUGCUGGAUUUAGUGUUGGUCAUCUUUGUUUUCAGUUGGAUCUGGAUCUUGGAAUGCUGUUGCGUUGUUGUCAAAUAAAUGUUAUUGUUAGCUACUUCUAAUAUUAGUUGCAUGUUUCGUCCAUGUUAUGUGUUAGUUGCAUGUUUGGUGGAUUUGAUGGGUGUCAUCAUAGAGAAUAAAAUAUCUCUUACCCUGUUUACUUAGCCUCUACGUUUGUAGAUCCUUUCAUGUUUUAAGGCAUUGUUCCUUGCACCUGGCCUAGACAAAAGUGUCUUGCUGUGCAUUUUCUAGAUUCUUAUAAAGAGUUUGGCAUGUUGCUAGUACCAAAAUUCAACUAUUAAGAUUAAUAUAUAUUGAUAUGUUUUUCCUCUGGAA
rnacentral:lncRNA from 1 species